CUCUUGGAUAUGCAGAUAAUGAAGAAGACCUGUGCCUGCAAGAGCAUGAUCUGGAUUGCUGGAGUUGGGAUUCAUCUCCCCCAGCUCUAGAAGUCAGGGUUCAACUUCAGAGCCAUUCUCCUUCUGCUGCCUUUGGAGGUAAUGGAGGCACUUGAGAUGUAGCUGGCAGUACACGGCACUAACCACCGACCCGUGGCACUCAUUAGAUGGUGGCUGCUCCUCACAAGUGCCAUCAGGCAUGCAAUUCCUGCUCCUGAUUCUGCUAACGAUGCUGGUUAACACAUUGCUGUGUCGCUGUUCAAGCCACCUAGACAACAUGGUCUUGUCAGUCUGGAACGAGCUUAUCUUUUACUUAUCAUUUUCUUUGACACCAUCCUCUGAUAAGCCGAGAGAUAAAUACAUAACAGACUCUGCAA